AGAGAGAGACAUGCGCGCAUAUCAAUAAGCGGAGGAAAAGAAACUAACAAGGAUUCCCCUAGUAACGGCGAGUGAAGCGGGAAGAGCUCAAAUUUGAAAUCUUAAAGGGUUUCCCUUUACGAAUUGUAGUUUAAAGAAGUGUUUUCUGUUGAGGUUUUGGUAAAAGUUCUUUGGAAUAGGACAUCAUAGAGGGUGAGAAUCCCGUAUUUGACCUUUACUUUCAACUUUGUGAUACACUUUCAAAGAGUCGGAUUGUUUGGGAAUGCAGUCCAAAAUGGGUGGUAAAUUUCAUCUAAAGCUAAAUAUUGGCGAGAGACCGAUAGCGAACAAGUACCGUGAGGGAAAGAUGAAAGGAACUUUGAAAAGAGAGUUAAACAGUACGUGAAAUUGUCAAAAGGGAAGCGUUUGACACCAGUGUUGUUUUUCUGAAAUCAAUUAAAGAACUGUUUAUGCUAAGCUGUUUAGACUUUAUCAGCUAUCUGUUUAGUUUUGAGCUUUUCUUUAAUGCACUUUUCAGUUAACAAGUCAACAUCAAUUUCUUUUGCUGUAAAAAAGCUUGAGGAAGGUGGCUUGAGAUUCGUCUUAAGUGUUUAUAGCCUCUUGCCUAUGCAGUCGGAGAGAUUGAGGUCUGCAGCGUAGAUCCUUCGGGGCUAAAUGCAUUUGUGCUAAGUUAUAGCAUUUUAUAGACAACUUGUUGACUAUGAUUUGUCUUGUAGCUUACUCGCUUAUGUUAUUUUACCUACGCUUAGGAUGUUGACGCAUGAGAUAUACGC
rnacentral:rRNA from 1 species